AUUGAACGCUGGCGGAAUGCUUUACACAUGCAAGUCGAACGGUAGAGGGGGCAACCCCUCGAGAGUGGCGAACGGGUGAGUAAUAUAUCGGAACGUGCCCAGUCGUGGGGGAUAACGUAGCGAAAGUUACGCUAAUACCGCAUACGAUCUAAGGAUGAAAGCGGGGGAUCGCAAGACCUCGCGCGAUUGGAGCGGCCGAUAUCAGAUUAGGUAGUUGGUGGGGUAAAGGCUCACCAAGCCAACGAUCUGUAGCUGGUCUGAGAGGACGACCAGCCACACGGGAAAUGAGACACGGUCCAGACUCCUACGGGAGGCAGCAGUGGGGAAUCUUGGACAAUGGACGCAAGUCUGAUCCAGCCAUUCCGCGUGCAGGAUGAAGGCCCUCGGGUUGUAAACUGCUUUUGUACGGAACGAAAAGGUCUCUCUUAAUACGGGGGGCUCAUGACGGUACCGUAAGAAUAAGCACCGGCUAACUACGUGCCAGCAGCCGCCGUAA
rnacentral:rRNA from 1 species